GUGAGGAAUAUUGCGCAAUGGAGGCAACUCUGACGCAGCCAUGCCGCGUGCAGGAAGAAGGCGCUACGCGUUGUAAACUGCUUUUAACCGGGAAGAAACCCCAGGACGUGUCCUGGGUUGACGGUACCGGAGGAAUAAGCACCGGCUAACUUCGUACCAGCAGCCGCGGUAAUACGAAGGGUGCAAGCGUUAUCCGGAUUCAUUGGGUUUAAAGGGUGCGUAGGCGGAGCGUUAAGUCAGUGGUGAAAUCCUGCAGCUUAACUGUAGACUUGCCAUUGAUACUGGCGCUCUUGAGUGCGCUUGAAGUGGGCGGAAUGUGCCGUGUAGCGGUGAAAUGCUUAGAUAUGGCACAGAACACCAAUUGCGAAGGCAGCUCACUAAGGCGAUACUGACGCUGAGGCACGAAAGCGUGGGGAUCGAACAGGAUUAGAAACCCGGGUAGUCC
rnacentral:rRNA from 1 species